rnacentral:rRNA from 1 species
CCUACGGGCGGCAGCAGUGGGGAAUAUUGCACAAUGGGGGAAACCCUGAUGCAGCGACGCCGCGUGAGUGAAGAAGUAUUUCGGUAUGUAAAGCUCUGUCAGCAGGGAAGAAAAUGACGGUACCUGACCAAAACCCCCCGGCUAACUACGGUCCAGCAGCCCCGGUAAUACGAAGGGGGCAGGCGUUAUCCGGAUUUACUGGGGGAAAGGGGGGCGUAGACGGCAGGGCAAGUCUGGAGGGAAAGGUGGGGGCUCAACCCCCGGACUGCUCUGGAAACUGCCAGGCUGGAGUGCAGGAGAGGUAAGUGGAAUUCCUAGUGUAGCGGUGAAAUGCGUAGAUAUUAGGAGGAACACCAGUGGCGAAGGCGGCUUACUGGACUGUAACUGACGUUGAGGCUCGAAAGCGUGGGGAGCAAACAGGAUUAGAUACCCCAGUAGUC